AACAAUAUUUCAGCAUUGGUGCGACACUGCAAAAUGCCGCAACACUGUACAAUGCAAUAGUGCAACAUAACAAAUUGAUUUCAAUUGUGGUCAACUCAUUAUCUCACAAACCAUAUAUUUUCCAUAUUGCUACACCUAAAAUCCUAAUUGUUUUUAGUAUAAAUAGAAGGGAAAUUAGCAAAACUGGGAGUGAUUUUUUGAAGGAAAACUUUAGAGAGAAAUUUGGGAGCAAAAAUAGUGUAAAAAACUGAUUCUUUUCCAAUAAAACAUGGCUAAAACCCUCAUUGCCUCAGCUUCACACAUCGAACUUUCCAGCACCAACAUCUCCCUCCUCCUUUUCUGCCACCUUCGCACUAUAUGCUAUUGUUAUUGUCAUUACAUUUUGCUUUCCUGCUAUGUUGUUGGAGCAAUUUUGUUGUUUAUUGAUUGUUUUAGGAUUUAGGUUAUUGAUUGUUUUUUGGGAGUAUCUGUUGGAAUCAACUCUAGAAGAAAGAAAGCUUGGUUUCCUUGAGUGAAUAAGUUAAAAAAUAUUAUCUUCAAGGAAAGCUAAGCAUAUGUCCUUGGGAGGGAGACUGUUAAUGACCAGCUCAGACAUGUCCAAUAUCCAUAUUUAUCAAUUAUCCUUCUAUAAGAUUCCAAGAGUCAUAGAAAAAGAAAUUAUAAAGAUACAAAGAGAUUUUUUUGAGGGAAGGUAAUGGUGAUCAAAAGAUGAUGAGUUGGAUAAGCUGGAAAAACAUUUGCAGAAGAAAUAUAGACGGGUGGUUUAGGAGUCAAACAAGUUGGAGCCUUCAACUUUUCUUUGUUAUCCAAGUGGCUAUAUGGAGAAUACUGUCGGAGCCAAAAACUAUGUGGAUGGAUAUUCUUACUUUUAUGUAUGGUGGAGAAGAUCCUUAGAAUUUUAAGAUUCCUAGUUGGAAAAAUAGACUCUUUAUGGUGAAGAGAUAUGGUUGCCUUAGGCUUCAACUACGUGGAAGAUGAAAAUUGUUUCUCCAACUCCAUUAUUUGCAUAGUAGGAAAUGGAAUGAUAGUUAGUUUUUGGCAUCCUAGCUGGUGUGGGCCUGAUUUAUUGAAUAAUUUAUUUCCUGUUAUAUUUGAUAUUUCUAUUAGCAAGGAAGCAAGAGAGGGAGAUAUGUGAAGAUGGUCUAGAGGGACUUUGGAAUGGAAUAUCUAUUUGAUGAAGGAAAAUUUGGUUUUAUCCUUGAUCAGCUCAUGCAAAUUCUUGCACAUGUCUAUAUUUCCCCCGAUAAAGAGGAUUCAUUCAAGUGGUGGAGGAACAAUUGUGGUUCUCAUUUAAAAUCAACUAUUAUGUUUUCCAAUUAUCUUUGGGUGAGGUCAUCAUUCCGAAUGAAGCGUGCUUAGCAGGUUUGGAGGAAGUCUAGAAGUCGAGGAUUCCUAGUAAAUUUCAGGUUUUCUAUUAGAGACUGUUGCGGAAUGGUUUACCAAAUAAGUCUCAAUUGGUCAAGCGAGGAAUUUUAGAAGGUGUCCAUAACUCAGUUUUCCCUCUGUGUUUUUCUGUCGGGGAAGAAGAUAUUCAUCUAAUCUUGGACUGCUUUGUUAGGCAAGAUAUUUGGAGGAGUUUGUGCAACUAGUUAGGCAUUUAGUUCAAGGCAGCGACUGGCUUAAUUCCUAAGCAUGUUUUAUAGGUCUGCACCGAGAUGGAGAGGAAAUUCCAUGAUCACUUGCUUUACUUCUUUUGUUCUACAACAUACUAGACCUUGUGGACUAGCCGAAAUUCUAUUCUCUUUCAGGGAGAAGUCUUGAGUAGUUGGGACUUUUUUGGGAAGAAUCAAGUUGUUAUCUGCCAAGUGUUUUUUUAGAAAUAAUAAUCCCAUUAGUUAGGAGGGUUGAAGGAUAGAUCUGUCACAUAUUCUUAAUUGAAACCUUUUGUAAUUUUGACUUGUGUUAGGCUUUUAUUCCUUUGUUCUUUUUUUCUUCUUUCUCUUUGUGUUAAUGGUUUAUCACCCUUUAUGCUCACUAUAACUCAAUUUUUGCUCUCUGUUUUUCGGUUGGGGAAGAAGAUAUUCAUCUA